rnacentral:rRNA from 1 species
GUGGAUUAGUGGCGAACGGGUGAGUAACACGUGAGUAACCUGCCCUUGACUCUGGGAUAAGCCUGGGAAACUGGGUCUAAUACCGGAUAUGACUCCUCAUCGCAUGGUGGGGGGUGGAAAGCUUUUUGUGGUUUUGGAUGGACUCGCGGCCUAUCAGCUUGUUGGUGAGGUAAUGGCUUACCAAGGCGACGACGGGUAGCCGGCCUGAGAGGGUGACCGGCCACACUGGGACUGAGACACGGCCCAGACUCCUACGGGAGGCAGCAGUGGGGAAUAUUGCACAAUGGGCGCAAGCCUGAUGCAGCGACGCCGCGUGAGGGAUGACGGCCUUCGGGUUGUAAACCUCUUUCAGUAGGGAAGAAGCCUUUCGGGGUGACGGUACCUGCAGAAGAAGCGCCGGCUAACUACGUGCCAGCAGCCGCGGUAAUACGUAGGGCGCAAGCGUUAUCCGGAAUUAUUGGGCGUAAAGAGCUCGUAGGCGGUUUGUCGCGUCUGCCGUGAAAGUCCGGGGCUCAACUCCGGAUCUGCGGUGGGUACGGGCAGACUAGAGUGAUGUAGGGGAGACUGGAAUUCCUGGUGUAGCGGUGAAAUGCGCAGAUAUCAGGAGGAACACCGAUGGCGAAGGCAGGUCUCUGGGCAUUAACUGACGCUGAGGAGCGAAAGCAUGGGGAGCGAACAGGAUUAGAUACCCUGGUAGUCCAUGCCGUAAACGUUGGGCACUAGGUGUGGGGGACAUUCCACG